ACAGAUUUUUGUCAUUAAUUUAUUUUCAUAAGUUGAAAGUACUACUAUAAGCUUGCGGCAUGGUUCUUUGAGUAUUUAAAAAAAAUUGUAUUUAAAUUGGUAGUAGCCGUUUUUACUAAUUUCAAAAUCAUUGAAUUGAGUAAAAAGCUAGAUUUUUUAUACAUAGAUCACAAGAAAUACUAUGUGAUGAUAGUGAAUCAUUUUUAUAGCAGCUGAGAAAAACUGUAAACUGCUUGGAAAACACACAGACUCUAUUUACUGCAAUCUAUUAUCGUUGAUUUAAUUUUGAUUUUUUACAUUGAAUACAAUUUAUAAAAAAACGUAAAACAGCAUUGAAUUCAUUUUUUUAGAAGCAGCUGAGAAGUUAUUUUUAGUUUUUGCCAACCAAUAACACUAAUAACAUGAAAAAUCUACUUAUUGAUGGGAAAUCCGAAAAAUUGAUGAACGAAGACCGCUCACCGCCUGUAUGAAGGACAAGAGGUAAGCUUAAAAAAGCUCUUCUUCCAUUCCUCAUCGGCAUUGUCUUGAAGGCGUACACGCUCGUCCCUCUUAAGUUGAUGGUGAUGACAUUCAUGGCCUUGAUGGCCCUGCUGGUCUCAAAAAUCAGCGUUGCCAUUGCCAGCGUCCUCGCUCUUCAUCAAUACUAUCAGCAUUCCAGCGUACCUUCCAUGCAUGAUUUAGGGUCCGUCGGUGCUUUUUCUGCCCCGUUUUACGCAGUGACUGCAGCAGGGCAGACAGGAGUCGCAAACCAAGUUCCACUCGCACCGACUGGCCAGGAUCAGCAAUAUUCGCCCUCUGCUCCUCAACCAUAUAUUCGAAGGAUACACGUGAAGUACACUUGACUGCAAACGAAAUAAUUUUCCCUUAUGAAAUCAUUUUAUUUAUUUAAAUUAUUACAAAUUUUUUCUGUAAAUAACCUUAAUAAACCUGAG